AGAUUCUGCGGAGGUGGUGCCUGGGAGCUGGCCACACCUCCCCCAGAGGGGAUAUCCGGGUUUCACAGGUUUCUCUCCCUUCCUGAGCAACGGCAGGAUGUCCGUCCAUCAUUCCAAGAUGUCCAUUUGACCGUUGAGUAAGAGCCCAUCUCUGCCCUCUGGAGCUCCCACGUGAUCCAGGAAGAGAGUGACACCAGUGAUGCUGUUAAACAAGGACAAUCCGGUUCAUGGAUUGUGACAACGCACACUGACAUCAAGCGGACCCUGCCGUCAGCUGAGUGCCAUGAGAGGACAGUGACAACCUUGGAGGCCUCAUGGUGAAGGUGGCAGAACCUUUGUUAGCCUAGGUGCUCACGGUGGACAGCUGCUCUUGCCAACCGGGAACAUUUGCCUUGAGCUCUUUUGGAACUUCGACGUAGCUGGGGAGAGUUCCAUAAGCAACAACGUGCGGUGAGUUUGGUGAAUCAGAGAGAAAGCACCAUGUUACGGAAGCUGCUGGCAGGAGGCUCUGAUCUCAUCUACAGGACAGAGAAGCCUUCCUGGAGGAAGCAAGGUUUGAGCUGAAACCUGAAGGGUAGAAGAUAAAUAGAUGAAGGAGGGGGAAGAGCACACAGGCCAGGAGGAAGCCUGCACAAAGAUGUGUCUAACAUGUAAGAGAAAUUGGUGGCUGAGGAACUGGAUUGAUUUAGGGGGCAUCAUCAAUUGAUAAGGCUGAGGAACUGAUUCAAUUGUGGGGCUCAUGGAGA